AAAAGAACAUGUUCUCCAAUGCUUACUCUAGUCUCUAGCUAGUCCUGCUUCCACGCAAUAUGAGGGGACCAACUUACAGACCACUACAAGCACACCAAUGCAAGCCUCCAAAGAGAUGGAGUAAGACUACAUGUGAAGCUAAACUGUCCAUCAAAGCUCCAAAAGCUCUAAAGAGAGCCCACACAAAGCGAAAGGGUAUGUUCCAAGCUUAACUGGCAGUACAGAGAGCCUUGGCCAUGCAUCCUCUAGACUAGACGACGAUGGUAUGCAAGAACAUGCAUGCAAGAGGUAGCAUAGGUCUGUGAACCACACCACUACGUAUACGCCUUGCACUUGCACGCAAGAGCCGCCAGUAGUUGAACAAGGUUGAUAUAUACAAGAUGGUGUGAGCUCGCAAACUGACGUUUCACUGCAAGAUGAUGCGACGAUUUUUGAGGUCACCCAAUCGGCUUGCUUAGCUGUUUCUCAUUUGCAUGUUCCUGCCAAGAAAGAUAUAUCAACUGCUUUUGCUUGUGGGGACAUAUAUGGAUGAUUGUGAGAUUGCAAGCAAGGAAGGUUCUUUGCCAGAGGUGGAUCUACAGUGUGGGCAAAGUGGGCCAUGGCCCCACCUCAAAUUGGCCGAACUUGAGGACUUGUUUAGUGACAUGUUUUUUUUUUGUUGCGGAUGAGUGUUUUUAAGAUGGGACAUAUCUGGUGCAAACUAACUCCUCCGUGCAACCGUGCAAACUUCUAAUAUAAACCACAUAAUGUUGAUCUAAGGGAGCGAGAGCGGGGGAGGGGAGGGGGAUUUGAAAAAGUGUGAUUAACAACGUGCAGUUAAGUGCAAAAAUUAUCCACGCUCCUGCGUCCCUUGGAUCAACAUCAUGUGGCCCAGAUUAGAGAUUUGCACGGUUGCAUGAAGAGGUUGGUUUACACCAGAUAUGUUCCCUUUCAUGAUAUUACGGCAUUUAUUUGAGAACUGUCAGUUGAUGGAGAAGUUUAAAGGGGUGUUUGAUUUAUAAGAACUAAUUUUUAGUU